rnacentral:rRNA from 1 species
AAAACUUUCAACAACGGAUCUCUUGGUUCCAGCAUCGAUGAAGAACGCAGCGAAAUGCGAUAAGUAAUGUGAAUUGCAGAAUUCAGUGAAUCAUCGAAUCUUUGAACGCACAUUGCGCCCCCUGGUAUUCCGGGGGGCAUGCCUGUUCGAGCGUCAUUG